GACGAACGCUGGCGGCGCGCCUAACACAUGCAAGUCGAACGAGCGAGAGAGCUUGCUUUCUCGAGCGAGUGGCGAACGGGUGAGUAACGCGUGAGGAACCUGCCUCAAAGAGGGGGACAACAGUUGGAAACGACUGCUAAUACCGCAUAAGCCCACGACCCGGCAUCGGGUUGAGGGAAAAGGAGCAAUCCGCUUUGAGAUGGCCUCGCGUCCGAUUAGCUAGUUGGUGAGGUAACGGCCCACCAAGGCGACGAUCGGUAGCCGGACUGAGAGGUUGAACGGCCACAUUGGGACUGAGACACGGCCCAGACUCCUACGGGAGGCAGCAGUGGGGGAUAUUGCACAAUGGGGGAAACCCUGAUGCAGCGACGCCGCGUGGAGGGAGAAGGUCUUCGGAUUGUAAACUCCUGUUGUUGAGGAAGAUAAUGACGGUACUCAACAAGGAAGUGACGGCUAACUACGUGCCAGCAGCCGCGGUAAAACGUAGGUCACAAGCGUUGUCCGGAAUUACUGGGUGUAAAGGGAGCGCAGGCGGGAAGACAAGUUGGAAGUGAAAUCUAUGGGCUCAACCCAUAAACUGCUUUCAAAACUGUUUUUCUUGAGUAGUGCAGAGGUAGGCGGAAUUCCCGGUGUAGCGGUGGAAUGCGUAGAUAUCGGGAGGAACACCAGUGGCGAAGGCGGCCUACUGGGCACCAACUGACGCUGAGGCUCGAAAGUGUGGGUAGCAAACAGG
rnacentral:rRNA from 1 species